rnacentral:tRNA from 1 species
GGUUCUGGCUCAGUGGUAGAGCGUUCGUCUCACAUGUGUGAGACCCUGGGUUCGAUCCUCAGCACCA